AUUAUCUUGGCAGAAUAGUGCAUUAAAUUUAGAGUUUAAAAUAAGAUAUAACAAGUUUAUAUAGAUAAUA
rnacentral:tRNA from 1 species